rnacentral:sRNA from 2 species
GUGCCAACUGCGCCGAACUCCAUCCGUUGGUCCGCGGGGACAACGAGACCCAACCUGGAUGGAGGCGGGGGACCCACCGGUCCACCGAAACAGAAGGACCAGGAGCCGAUUCGGUUCCUUGGGGUGAAGCCGACGUCGUUUCGACGCCGCCGGCCGGGCGACCUCUCCAGCCCGAACCCGACAGCUGACCUCGCGGGCGCAUACGAGAGGACCU